UACGGAGGGAGCUAGCGUUGUUCGGAAUUACUGGGCGUAAAGCGCACGUAGGCGGCUUUGUAAGUUAGAGGUGAAAGCCCGGGGCUCAACUCCGGAACUGCCUUUAAGACUGCAUCGCUUGAAUCCGGGAGAGGUGAGUGGAAUUCCGAGUGUAGAGGUGAAAUUCGUAGAUAUUCGGAAGAACACCAGUGGCGAAGGCGGCUCUCGUGGGCCCUACCUGACGCUGAGACGCGAAAGCGUGGGGAGCGAACCGGAUUGAGAUACC
rnacentral:rRNA from 1 species